GAUGAACGCUAGCGAUAGGCUUAACACAUGCAAGUCGAGGGGCAGCACAAGGUAGCUUGCUAUCUGGUUGGCGACCGGCGCACGGGUGUGUAACGCGUAUGCCACAUGUCCUAUACAGGAGGAUAAUCCGUCGAAAGACGGACUAAUACUGCGAAAGCUCACAACGUGGUAUCCAGAGGUGAGGAAAGAAAUUCGGUAUAGGAUAGGCAUGCAUCCCAUUAGCUUGUUGGUGAGGUAACGGCCCACCAAGGCAACGAUGGGUAGGGGAACUGAGAGGUUUAUCCCCCAGAAUGGUACUGCGACACGGACCACUCUCCUACGGAGGACAACAGUAUGGAAUGUUAGUCGAGGGACGCGGGCCUGACCCAGCCGAGUCGCGUGAAGGAUGACUGUCUUAUGGAUUGUAUGCUUCUUUUAUACAACAUUAACGAGAGUAACGUGUGACUCCCUGCAUGUACCGUAUGAAUAAGCAUCGGCUAACUCCGUG
rnacentral:rRNA from 1 species